AAGAGGGACAGUUCUGGGAAGUUUGGACUGCAUAGGCAGGUGCAUAAGGAGUCUCAGGAAUGCUGCUGGCUUCAGAUUCUGAUCCCUGUGUCACCUCUCACCCUCAUGUGAGUACAGAUGGAGUCACAUUUCUGAGCCUACAGAGCUGAGGGCAAGACCUGAGAAUGGUGAUGUCAAAAUGCCAACCAGCAAGACCUCUUGGUGGUUAUUCAGCCAGCCUUUUCUUGUGCCGUUCCACAGUCUUGACUGAGACCUUUUUUAGAUGUCACCUUGAGAUGAGCUGUGUGAAUAUCCAAUUUAAAAAGGUGCAGAAGGAAACUCUGUGCUUGCUUGUGCGCCUCCUGUGCUUGGACAUCAGAAUCCAGGUUCUUCAGCCUUCGGACUCUAGGACUUGCACCAGCGGCUUCCCAAGGGCUCUCAGGCCUUAAGCCACAGACCGAUGACUGUAUUGUCAGCUUCCCUGGUUUGAGGCUUUUGGACUUGGACUGAGCCGCUACUGGCUUCUCUCUUUCCCAGCUUGCAGACAGUCUAUCAUAGGACUUUGCCUUGUAAUUG